GUCGGGAAUAUUGCACAAUGGGCGAAAGCCUGAUGCAGCGACGCCGCGUGAGCGAAGAAGGCCUUCGGGUUGUAAAGCUCUGUUGCCCGUGACGAAGGACCGCAUCAGGGAAUGGGUGCGGGGAGACGGUAGCGGGCGAGGAAGCCCCGGCCAACUACGUGCCAGCAGCCGCGGUAAUACGUAGGGGGCGAGCGUUGUCCGGAAUUAUUGGGCGUAAAGGGCGUGUAGGCGGCCUGUCAAGUCAGGGGUGAAAACCCGGGGCUCAACUCCGGGGUUGCCCUUGAAACUGGGAGGCUUGAGUGCUCUAGAGGGCAGUGGAAUUCCCGGUGUAGCAGUGAAAUGCGUAGAGAUCGGGAGGAACACCAGUGGCGAAGGCGGCUGCCUGGGGAGUAACUGACGCUGAGGCGCGAAAGCUAGGGGAGCAAACAGGAUUAGAAACCCUAGUAGUCC
rnacentral:rRNA from 1 species